rnacentral:rRNA from 1 species
GUAGGAGGCGAGCGUUAUCCGGAUUCACUGGGCGUAAAGCGCGUGCAGGUGGCGCGGUAAGUUGGGCGUGAAAUCUCCCGGCUCAACUGGGAGAGGUCGUCCAAUACUACCGUGCUAGAGAGCAGAAGAGGAAGAUGGAAUUCCCGGUGUAGUGGUGAAAUGCGUAGAUAUCGGGAGGAACACCAGUGGCGAAGGCGAUCUUCUGGUCUGUUUCUGACACUCAGACGCGACAGCUAGGGUAGUAAACGGGAUUAGAGACCCCGGUAAUCCUAGCCGUAAACGAUGUGAACUUGGCGUUGGUGGGUUAAACUCCAUCAGUGCCGCAGCAAACGCGAUAAGUUCACCGCCUGGGGACUACGGCCGCAAGGUUAAA